AUCCUUUUUGUCAUACCAUGCAUAUAUACUUAGCUCAGUAUAGUAAAAAUACUGUUGUAGAUUUGAAAGUUAUACUAUGUAUUUCCAAAUAAAGUAAAAAUAUUUUUUGCUCGAUUUUUUGUAUGUCUACUUCAACCGCCUUCGUCGAAAAAAGUCGUUACCUCCGCCAUCUUCGAUAAUUUCUAGUUCAACCGCGAAACUAAUUGAAAUCAGGAUUAAAACGUUAUCGCAAACAUUUUUUCUCAUUGUAUUGAAUUCAUAAUUGCGUGAGACAUAAAGUCCAAAUCAAGUAAAAGAAAAACAAGUUCUUAACUAGCCUCCAUCAACUGUUCACGUCAGCGGACCUGGCUCUUGUUAAAUAUUUUGAUUUUCGACGGACUCCACCAGCGACCAUCAGCAAAAUAAUGGACAACCAUCCAUCACCGUUCGGAACCGCAAAUGAUGACUUCCCCCAAGGCUUCCCCAGGACUAGACCACGAAUCUGCUCAAGGUCGGAUGCUCUUUUAACUGGUUUCCACGAAAAUUACAACCCGGAGGAGAUGCGACAGGAAGUGCAUGUCAAUGCCAGGAUCAGACAUGAAUCGAAAAAUCAGAUUCAAGGACAAUUCUAGUGUAUAGUGCUUUGGAUAGUACGUAUGCAAAUGUGUAUUGGAUCCGAGUGUAGAUAACGUUUUAUGUGAAAUUAUUUUAAAUAUACAAAAUGUUUGAUUUUCGUUA